rnacentral:rRNA from 1 species
UACGUAGGGGGCUAGCGUUGUCCGGAAUCAUUGGGCGUAAAGAGCGUGUAGGCGGUCCGGUAAGUCCGCUGUGAAAGUCACAGGCUCAACCUGUGAAUGCCGCUGGAAACUGUCUGGCUAGAGUCCGGGAGGGGCGAGUGGAAUUCCUGGUGUAGCGGUGAAAUGCGCAGAUAUCAGGAGGAACACCAAUGGCGAAGGCAGCUCGCUGGAACGGUACUGACGCUGAGGCGCGAAAGCGUGGGGAGCAAACAGG